rnacentral:rRNA from 1 species
AUUGAACGCUGGCGGCAUGCUUUACACAUGCAAGUCGAACGGUAACAGGCCGCAAGGUGCUGACGAGUGGCGAACGGGUGAGUAAUGCAUCGGAACGUGCCCAGUCGUGGGGGAUAACGCAGCGAAAGCUGCGCUAAUACCGCAUACGAUCUAUGGAUGAAAGCGGGGGACCGAAAGGCCUCGCGCGAUUGGAGCGGCCGAUGUCAGAUUAGGUAGUUGGUGGGGUAAAGGCUCACCAAGCCAACGAUCUGUAGCUGGUCUGAGAGGACGACCAGCCACACUGGGACUGAGACACGGCCCAGACUCCUACGGAAGGCAGCAGUGGGGAAUUUUGGACAAUGGGCGCAAGCCUGAUCCAGCAAUGCCGCGUGCAGGAAGAAGGCCUUCGGGUUGUAAACUGCUUUUGUACGGAACGAAACGGUCCUGGUUAAUACCUGGGGCUAAUGACGGUACCGUAAGAAUAAGCACCGGCUAACUACGUGCCAGCCGCCGCGGUAACAC